ACAGUAUGACAAACUGACAGAUGCAUGGGGGUACACAUGGGAAACCUCGCCCAGCCUGGACAGGGACAGGAUUUACAGAUUGAUAGCUCUUUCUCGAUUCUGUGGGUGGUGGUGCAUGGCUGUUUUUAGUUGGUGGAGUGAUUUGUCUGGUUAAUUCCAAUAACAAAUGAGACUCUGGCAUGGUAACUAGUUAUGCAACCCCUGAGCGGUCGGCAUCCUGCAACUUAGAGGGACAAGUGGUGUUUAGCCACCCGAGAUUGAGCAAUAACAGGUCUGUGAUGCUCUUAGAUGUCUGGGACUGCAUGGGCGCUACACUGACUGGUUGAGGAUGUGCCUACUCUACACCAGCAGGCUCGGGUAACCCUUUGAACCCCAUUCGUGAUGGGAAUCGGGGAUUGCAAUUAUUCCCCAUGAAUGAGGAAUUCUCAGUAAGUGCGGGUUGUAAGCUUGCGUUGAUUAAUUCCCUGCCCUUUGUA
rfam:Loxodonta africana unplaced genomic scaffold scaffold_85, whole genome shotgun sequence.